AUGGGAGGGGGGAGGAGGGGGAGUCCCAGCCCGGGGCCGCCUCCCCUCUGCCCCGUCGCCGGGCACAAAGCUGGCGCGCCUUCGGGCCGGCGCCGCUCUCGUCCGGCCGCCCCGCGCGGGCCUCUCCGCCCCCUCCCGGCCCCUCCCCCCCCUCCCCUGCCCGCCCUCCCCUGCCCUUCCCGCCCGCCCCGGGCCCGGAGGACGUGCGCCGCGCUCGCACCAGGCGGCGGGACGGGACAGGACGCGCCCGCUCCGCCCGCCACCGCGGCCCCGCGGGGGAAGGAAGUGCCGAGGCGUGUCCGCCAGGCCCCGGCGUCAGGCUUAGUGUUUAAGCCGCGAAGCCAGCGUAGUAAGGACACGGGGGAGAACUCGGUGGGGCCGAGACACAAAGCAGAACCGACCCCGCCGACCGCGCGGCGCGUCACACGGGAGCCUCCCCCGGGAAGGGUCCGCGUGGAAGUGCGGGCCGCGCUCCAGCCGUGGCCCCGCGCCCCGAGGGGGCGGGUGCUCUACAUCGUACCAAGAGCUGAUGUGUGUGGACCCCCCACCCCCCCCCCGUCAGGAACGGGGCCCGCAGGGACUCAGCGCCCCCUGCGUGCGGCCCCCGCGGGACCCUCCGCCCCGAUGAUUACCGAGUGGCCGGCGUGGGCGGCAGAGGGAGGGUCUAGGAGGGCCCCUCGGAGAAGGUGGCUUGUCGUCGAGGGCAGUGGGAUUUGGCUCCGUAAAGGGGCUGGAAGCGCCUUCGCAGGCAGAGGGAGCAGCGCACACGACGGCCCUGCGGCACAGGGGAGCCUGGUGCCCGGCCGUGGGCGCAGACGCGCGGGGCGCCAGGUGGGGCAACUGCGCGAGGUCCGCAGGGGGCACUCGGGGGCAGGGGUCGUCAUUCUCGCGCCCUGCAGAUCCGGGUCACCUGGCCCCGAAAGGGCGCGGGGGGGGGGGGUGUUGACCGCCACAGUCGGGCCAAAAGGUCGGCUCUGCGGCUCUGCGCAGCCUGUUGGAGCCGGCAGCCAGCCUUCCCGGGCUCGGGGCUUUCCUGCCCGGUGGCGCCCGCAACCACCGAAGACCCAUUUCGCAGCCCAGACAGCGUUAUUCCCGGUCCCCAGACGGGGACGCCGAGGAGCCGCUAGUGCCGGGCCCCCGCGGGCGCGGAGGUGGAGUCGCGCCGCCCUCGGGCUCUACCCCGGCGCGGGCGCUCGCGGCGGGCGGGGCGGUCCCGGCCCCCGGCCCCCGGCCCCGGGCCCCCGGCGGGCUGCAACCGCGGGCCGGGUGCCGGUCCUGCCACGCAGCCGCAGAGGCUCGGCCCCGCGGGCGGGCGGCAGGAAGCGAGGCGACGCCCCCUGGAGCGCGGCAGGAACCCGGCCGGGCCCGCCUCCCCGCCAGCAGAGCCCAGCCGCGCCGGCCCCAGCGGUGAUGAAAGCCGCGGCCGAGUCCAGGUCACGCCGAAGCCGUUGCCCUUUUAAGGGGGAGCCUUGA
rnacentral:lncRNA from 1 species